rnacentral:lncRNA from 1 species
UUUUUCAAAGAAAAUUUCUGAGGAUUCUGACUUACGUCAUACAAAUGAAAAUUUCAUGAAUGAGUUAUUCCCAGAAGAAUAUAGGCUUUUAAAAAAUACGGUUAUAGUGUAAAGCAGAAACAGGUAGAUGAGCUGGUGGAAAUACAGCUCGUGUCUUGUCGUGCUCUGCACCUCAGAGGGAGGAUCUGAGAACAUGGAUUCUCUGAAGUCCAUAGGAGCUCUGUUAGCCAGUGAACCCCAAGGGCCCAGGAACCACUGCAUGGCAUAAAGAGGGUUCUAUUUUUUUGACAAUUGUUUUUCCUAUGAAAAUGUGAGUUUCCUAAGUAUAAAAUAACUGAACUUUGAAAUGUACAGGGAUAACUUGAUUUCCUGGAAAAAAAAAAUUAAGUAAAAUUGAGGUGCAAUUACUUAAGCUACAACUCACUAAAAUAAAUUAUUAAUCAACUGUUUUAAAAUUAGGAACGAUAAUAUUGACUUAGUUCAAAAAAGGGAGAAGCGUGCAAGAUACCCUGAGAGGAACAGCAUCUCUGACUAAGCUGGGCUGCUCCCAGACUCUGUUGCACUUCUG